CCAUAGCUCAGCGGUAGAGCGUCCGGCUGUUAACCGGCAGGUCAUAAGUUCGAAUCUUAUUGGA
rnacentral:tRNA from 1 species